rnacentral:misc_RNA from 1 species
UCAAAUUUUUGAGAAUCGGAGAAGUGAUUUUACAAAUAAAUUCCAUUCGCGAACACAACAGAAUUCUCCGUAAAUUCUCUCCUAGAAUUCCAACCAGACUCUAAAUCUUUCCUUUAUUUCUCCUACAAAGCAUCAAGCAACACUGACACAUCACUAAGAGAACAUACGUUUUGCACUCUCGCUGGAGGUAGUAGCUUCCUACAUUUCAUCUCACUAUACAGGGUGUCCAGUGAUCGCGGUACAACCGACAUCGCCCCUAUUCUCUCGAUUGUACCACGAUUACUGGUACACCCUGUAUAAUGCACACAUCUUCCAAGCAUCCUUCAAUUCAUACGAAAGCCAGACACACGAGACUUUCGAACGUCCUCGAACAGGAAACAGGAAAAAGGAAAGUAAAGAAGGAACACGAUUCUCGGUUGGAAACGCGCAUCGAAUACGUUCGUCCUUAAUCAGGCCACGAAAUGAAAGUGGUUUCAGUGAAUGGCCGAUGAAGAAGGAAAAGAGGCGGAGCAUGUUGCAGAAGGAAUGAACGAAUACAAUAAGGAAGAAGAGGUCGUGGAUGCAAGUAAGAUUAACGCGCAAGCAUGGUUUCCUGUCGACAUUUUUCAAAGGCUAGCGGAGCGGAAUAAAAAGCUAAAGAGAACCUGAACAUAUUCAUACGACGUCUAUACAUUUAUACACCUAUUUAGGAACUUUGAAGUGGUGUUUCUGGAAAGAACGUGGUAGUCCGAAUUGCUAAUUGACAAUGGCAGCAGACAAAGCUCUACGGAUUACGUUUUGAUAUCGAGAUUUUUCACGAGGAAGGAAUUAGAGUUAUUAAUUUAUAUUUAUAUUGUUUUAUAUUUGUUUUGUACAAUUUAUAUUUAUACUUGUGCGGACAUCAUCAAACUUCGUGUUAGAAAGUAUUAAG